UACGAAGGGGGCUAGCGUUGCUCGGAAUCACUGGGCGUAAAGGGCGCGUAGGCGGCCAUUCAAGUCGGGGGUGAAAGCCUGUGGCUCAACCACAGAAUUGCCUUCGAUACUGUUUGGCUUGAGUUUGGUAGAGGUUGGUGGAACUGCGAAGUGUAGAGGUGAAAUUCGUAGAUAUUCGCAAAGAACACCAGUGGCGAAGGGCGGCCAACUGGACCAACAC
rnacentral:rRNA from 1 species